rnacentral:rRNA from 1 species
UACGUAGGUGUCGAGCGUUAUCCGGAAUUACUGGGCGUAAAGGGCACGCAGGCGGCCUUUCAAGUUCGACGUGAAAGCGCCCGGCUCAACCGGGCGAGGUCGUUGAAAACUGAGGGGCUUGAGACCGCAAGAGGAAGGCGGAAUUCCCGGUGGAGUGGUGGAAUGCGUAGAGAUCGGGAAGAACACCCGUGGCGAAAGCGGCCUUCUGGUGCGGGUCUGACGCUGAGGUGCGAAAGCGUGGGGAGCGAACGGGAUUAGAAACCCCCGUAGUCC